rnacentral:rRNA from 1 species
GUGGGGAAUAUUGGACAAUGGGCGGAAGCCUGAUCCAGCCAUGCCGCGUGUGUGAAGAAGGCCUUUUGGUUGUAAAGCACUUUAAGCGAGGAGGAGGCUCCUUUAGUUAAUACCUAAAGUGAGUGGACGUUACUCGCAGAAUAAGCACCGGCUAACUCUGUGCCAGCAGCCGCGGUAAUACAGAGGGUGCGAGCGAUAAUCGGAUUUACUGGGCGUAAAGCGUGCGUAGGCGGCUUUUUAAGUCGGAUGUGAAAUCCCUGAGCUUAACUUAGGAAUUGCAUUCGAUACUGGAAAGCUAGAGUAUGGGAGAGGAUGGUAGAAUUCCAGGUGUAGCGGUGAAAUGCGUAGAGAUCUGGAGGAAUACCGAUGGCGAAGGCAGCCAUCUGGCCUAAUACUGACGCUGAGGUACGAAAGCAUGGGGAGCAAACAGGAUUAGAAACCCUGGUAGUCC